rnacentral:lncRNA from 1 species
UAAAACAAAUAAUACCCAUUUAAAGAUUAAAAUGUAAAUUAUGAAAUAUAUUAAUAAUGUCUUAAAUUAGAUAACUAGAAAUAUAUCUAUGUCCGAAACAAGUUGUUUAGAAAUUACAUUAAAUAGAUAAUAUUGUCAGCAAUUUUACUCGUUCCCAUUGACCUACAUUCCUUUCUUCAGAUCCUGCGCUCCACUUUUUCCCACCACAACACUACCCCAUCUCAUUUACCGAAUCACCAUAUAUUAUUUUCUUCUACACUCUCAUAAUCUAGAAUCAUCAAUCCCUUCACCAUUGUUUUUUCUUUCUCUCUUUCUUUAUUUACUUCUUAUUUUAACCAAAAGUAAGCAUUAUAGUCCACCAAUAGCAUUCUACAUAAGCUUCAAUUGUCAUUCAUAUCUAUUCUUGU